CUGAAGGGGGGGGGGGGGGUUAUUUGGGGUCAUUCCCCCCCCCACCAUUGUAACUACGUGGAUGCUGAGUGUGCAAAAGGUUCGUGCACGUUGGUGCUGGGUGUGCAAGAGAUCCGUGCGCGCGGGAGGUCAAACGCGUUGGCUGCGGGUGUGCAAAAGGCUUUGUGCACGUGGGUGCUGAGCGUGCAAGGGGAUCAGUGCACGUGGGAGGCCCUGCACGUCGGUGCUGGGUGUGCAAGGGGUCUGUGCACAAGAGGUCGUGUUGAGUGGUGCUGGGUGUGCAAGGGGUCUGUGCACGAGGGUCGUGUUGACUGGUGCUGGGUGUGCAAGGAUCUUGCACACGUGGGAGGCCAGUUACACGAGGGCUGCGUGUGCAGGGAGGUUGUGCACAAGAACUUGUGCAGGCUGGUCUCAGGGAGCUUGUUUGCACUAGGGCUGGGUGUGCAAGGAGGUUGUGCACGUGGGAGGCCAGGCACACCAAUAUUGGGCAUGCAAGGAAGCAGUGCACAAGAGGUCGUGCUCACUGUGCACACUGUUGCUGGGUGUGCAAGGAGCUCACGCAUGUGGGAGGUUGAGAAUGCUGGUGAUGAGUGUGCAAGGCAGUCUGUGCACAAGAGCUCACGCACAGUGGUGCUGGGUGUGCGAGGAGGUUGUGCACAUUGGUGGUAGGUGUGCAAGGGAUCUGUGCACGUGGGAAGUCGCACAAUCUGGUGCCAGGGAGGCUGUGCACACCAGUGCUGGGUGUGCAAGGCAGUCUGUGUGCACAAGAGCUCACGCACAGUGGUGCUGGGUGUGCAAGGAGCUUGUGCACACUGGCGGUAGGUGUGCAAGGGAUCUGUGCACGUGGGAAGUCACACAGUCUGGAUCCAGGCAGGCCGUGCACACCGUGCUGCGCGUGCAGGACGGUAUUGCACGUGGGCAGCCUCGCACACUCGUGUGCACAUCACUCAAUGCGUGGCCACGCAGGGCGGCUGCCCCCACCAGAAGGUUGUGCACACUGGUGGUAGGUGUGCAAGGGAUCUGUGCACGUGGGAAGUCGCACAAUCUGGUGCCAGGGAGGCUGUGCACACCAGUGCUGGGUGUGCAAGGCAGUCUGUGUGCACAAGAACUGGUGAUGGGGGUGCAAGGUAAUCUGUGGGCACAAGAGCUCACACACAGUGCUGCAGGGCGUGCAAGGAGUUUGUGCUCGUGAGAAGUCACACAGUCUGAAUCCAGGCAAGGCCGUGCACACCGUGCUGCGCGUGCAAGACGGUAUUGCACGUGGGCAGCCUCGCACACUCGUGUGCACAUCACUCAAUGCAGGCCGUGCACACCGUGCUGCGCGUGCAAGACGGUAUUGCACGUGGGCAGCCUCGCACACUCGUGUGCACAUCACUCAAUGCGUGGCCACGCAGGGCGGCUGCCCCCACCACAAGUCGUGCGCUCUGGUGACCUCACGUAAAUCAAUUGUGAGCGUGCAAGGGCGUCCCUCUACGCGAGUGUGCGCGCGCGUGUGUGUGCGUGUGAGCUGGGGGGGGGCCUUGGGGGUCACCCUUCCCCCCUCCUGACCUUCUCCCCCCCCCACAACCCCCAGGAGCGCAGCUUUGGGCGCGCGUGUGUGUGCGUGGGGGCUGGGGGGGGGGCUUGGGGGUCACACUUCCCCCCUCCUGACCUUCUCCCCCCCCCACAACCCCUAGGAGUGCAGCGCACUGGGGGACAUGCCCGGCUCCUUCGUGCCCACCGUGACGGCCAUCACCAGCAGCCAGGACCUGCAGUGGUUGGUGCAGCCCACCCUCAUCUCUUCGGUGGCCCAAACUCAACCCCCCCAACCUCAAUCUGGGGGUCCUAUGGCUCAUCCACCACCACCUCCUCCACCUCCCACCGGUCCCGGUGCUCCUGUAGAUCCUUAUGACCUUCCAGGACCCAGUUAUUCUACCGCUGGGAUGGGGGGGUUUCCCUCCGCCGCCGCCCCCCCUCCUGCCAGAGCCACCAGGGCACGAGCGCGACGCAGCCGUGAUGAGACGGUGAGUGGGGGGGAUGGACCCCAAAUCUGGACCCCCAAAACCUGGGCAUGGGACCCCAAAACCUGGGCGUGGGACCCCAACGCUUGUUUCCAUCCUGGCACCCUUCACCCCCAACAUGAGGACCCGUGGCCCUGCCCUGUGUCCCCAAAACAGGGCACUUGUCCCCAGUUUGGGGACAUUUCCCAUCCC
rnacentral:lncRNA from 1 species